UCUUAUGGAUCAGCAAAGAAAGUGGUUUCUUGAAAUGGAAUGUACUCCUAGUGAAGACACUGUGAA
rnacentral:pre_miRNA from 1 species